rnacentral:rRNA from 1 species
ACGUGGGCACGUAUUCUACGGGAGGCAGCAGUGACGUGUUAAUAUGUGGUCAAUGGGCGCAAGGACUGUAACACAGGCCAUCCCGCGUGUAAGGAUGAAGGCCCUAUGGCUCUCGUAAACUUCUUUUAUACACCAAGAAAAAGCAGGACGUGUCCUGCCCCGACGGUAGUGUAUGAAUAAGCAUCGGCUAACUCCGUGCCAGCAGCCGCGGUAAUACGGAGGAUGCGAGCGUUAUCCGGAUUCAUUGGGUUUAAAGGGUGCGUAGGCGGCUUUUUAAGUCAGUGGUGAAAUCUUGCCGCUUAACGGUAAAAUUGCCAUUGAUACUGAUAAGCUUGAGUACAAUUGAGGUAAGCGGAAUGUGUAGUGUAGCGGUGAAAUGCUUAGAUAUUACACAGAACACCGAUUGCGAAGGCAGCUUACUAAACUGUUACUGACGCUGAUGCACGAAAGCGUGGGGAGCGAACAGGAUUAGAUACCCUGGUAGUCCACGCCGUAAACGAUGAUCACUCGCUGUAUGCGAUACACAGUAUGCGGCCAAGCGAAAGCAUUAAGUGAUCCACCUGGGGAGUACGAUCGCAAGGUUGAAACUCAAAGGAAUUGACGGGGGCCCGCACAAGCGGAGGAACAUGUGGUUUAAUUCGAUGAUACGCGAGGAACCUUACCUGGGCUUAAAUGGGGAACGACAGCAGCCGAAAGGUUGCCUUCUUCGGACGUUCUUCAAGGUGCUGCAUGGUUGUCGUCAGCUCGUGCCGUGAGGUGUCGGGUUAAGUCCCAUAACGAGCGCAACCCUUAUCGUUAGUUGCCAGCGGGUGAUGCCGGGGACUCUAGCGAGACUGCCACCGUAAGGUGUGAGGAAGGUGGGGAUGACGUCAAAUCAGCACGGCCCUUAUGUCCAGGGCUACACACGUGUUACAAUGGCAAGUACAAAGGCAGCUACCUGGUGACAGGAUGCUAAUCUCUAAAGCUUGCCUCAGUUCGGAUCGAAGUCUGCAACCCGACUUCGUGAAGCUGGAUUCGCUAGUAAUCGCAUAUCAGCCAUGAUGCGGUGAAUACGUUCCCGGGCCUUGUACACACCCCUCUCCUAUAGUGACUAG